rnacentral:rRNA from 1 species
CAUGCAAGUCGAACGGAAAGGCCCUUUCGGGGGUACACGAGUGGCGAACGGGUGAGUAACACGUGGGUGAUCUGCCCUGCACUUUGGGAUAAGCCUGGGAAACUGGGUCUAAUACCGGAUAGGACUACGCGAUGCAUGUCGUGUGGUGGAAAGCUUUUGCGGUGUGGGAUGGGCCCGCGGCCUAUCAGCUUGUUGGUGGGGUGAUGGCCUACCAAGGCGACGACGGGUAGCCGGCCUGAGAGGGUGUCCGGCCACACUGGGACUGAGAUACGGCCCAGACUCCUACGGGAGGCAGCAGUGGGGAAUAUUGCACAAUGGGCGCAAGCCUGAUGCAGCGACGCCGCGUGAGGGAUGACGGCCUUCGGGUUGUAAACCUCUUUCAGCUACGACGAAGCGUGAGUGACGGUAGUAGCAGAAGAAGCACCGGCCAACUACGUGCCAGCAGCCGCGGUAAUACGUAGGGUGCGAGCGUUGUCCGGAAUUACUGGGCGUAAAGAGCUCGUAGGUGGUUUGUCGCGUUGUUCGUGAAAACUCA